rnacentral:misc_RNA from 1 species
GAUGAAGAACGUAGCGAAAUGCGAUAAGUAAUGUGAAUUGCAGAAUUCAGUGAAUCAUCGAAUCUUUGAACGCACAUUGCGCCCGCCAGUAUUCUGGCGGGCAUGCCUGUUCGAGCGUCAUUACAACCCUCAGGCCCCCGGGCCUGGCGUUGGGGAUCGGCGGAGCCCCCCGUGGGCACACGCCGUCCCUCAAAUGCAGUGGCGGUCCCGCCGCAGCUUCCAUCGCGUAGUAGCUAACACCUCGCGACUGGAGAGCGGCGCGGCCACGCCGUAAAACACCCAACUCUUCUGAAGUUGACCUCGAAUCAGGUAGGAAUACCCGCUGAACUUAAGCAUAUCAAUAAGCGGAGGA